rnacentral:lncRNA from 10 species
CCCUCCCACCUGUCCCUUCAGUCCCAACCCCAAGUGUCGCUGAGUCCUUCUAAUCUUCCUUUUCUACAGACCCAUCUGACCUCUCCCCUCCUUGCCAGGCCGAGCUAGGUUCCCACGCCGCCCCUAAUCCCGCUUGAAGCAGCCCUGAGAAACAUCGCCCAUUCUCUCUCUCCGUAUCACCCCCCAAAAAAAUUUUCACUGUUCCAACACUUUAC